rnacentral:rRNA from 1 species
GAUGAACGCUGGCGGCGUGCUUAACACAUGCAAGUCGAACGAUGAAGCCCAGCUUGUUGGGUGGAUUAGUGGCGAACGGGUGAGUAACACGUGAGUAACUUGCCCUUAACUCUGGGAUAAGCCUGGGAAACUGGGUCUAAUACCGGAUAGGAGCGUCCACCGCACGGUGGGUGUUGGAAAGAUUUAUCGGUUUUGGAUGGACUCGCGGCCCAUCAGCUUGUUGGUGAGGUAAUGGCUCACCAAGGCGACGACGGGUAGCCGGCCUGAGAGGGUGACCGGCCACACUGGGACUGAGACACGGCCCAGACUCCUACGGGAGGCAGCAGUGGGGAAUAUUGCACAAUGGGCGCAAGCCUGAUGCAGCGACGCCGCGUGAGGGAUGACGGCCUUCGGGUUGUAAACCUCUUUCAGUAGGGAAGAAGCGAAAGUGACGGUACCUGCAGAAGAAGCACCGGCUAACUACGUG